rnacentral:misc_RNA from 1 species
AAGUCGUAACAAGGUCUCCGUAGGUGAACCUGCGGAGGGAUCAUUAACACGUAUCCAAUACACGUACAAUAUAACCCCCAACUGUGAAUUUAUACCUAUUUGAAAGGCGGGUGCUAGCCGCGGGUGAUAUAACUAUGCUAGCGCUCUAUUCGUUGUUCAGUAAGAGCUACCGACAGACAAGAUAGCGUACCAAAGGUCACCCUGGUUGCAUAUGCCACUUUGGCGUGGUCAUUCAUUGAGACCGAUAAUCCCUUAAACAAGGAACUCUUCUCGGUGGAAAGCAUCUAAUCCAUAGCUGUGCAACCUUACACACAAACCCCACUAUACCAAAUAUUACUGAAAGGUUUGCUUGCAAACUGAUACGAAAUAACGAACAACUCUUAGCAAUGGAUAUCUUGGUUCUC